ensembl:lncRNA
GUUACUUUGAUUUUUACAAAUUAUCUUUGAAAGACAGGGUCCUGAAAAGGGGACUUUUCUUUUUUUGCUGAGUUUAUAUAUUUCGACAAGGUGAAAUGUCUAUCUGUCCCCUUGACAUCUUGAAGCAAGUGAGGACAGCAGACUGGGAUAGGGAGAGAUUGAAAAUGACUGUAGUCACUCGCCAGAAAAAAACAGCUGUCGAGUGUGCUGACAACAGGAUGCUGGAGAUUCUUCAUUUUAAAAAUCACGGCAACUCUGAGAUUGAUGAGUAAUCUUGGAUGACCGACGGUCCUAGGCAGCGGGGCAACACAUCUGCGGACGGGGAUACCCCUACCUCCUAAUCCAGUAAAGAGAGUGGCACUGAAGAAAGAGAGUGGCCUUGUCAGCGCAUGUGGAAUUAUUCUUUGUCUCAGGUGACAUAAUCGGGUCAGGGAUCAUUGUGAGCCCAAAGGGCGUUAUGGAGAAUGCCAGCUCUGUGGGGCUGGCUCUCGUAGUGUGGAUUGUCACCGGAGUGAUCACAGCCAUUGGUGCACUGCUUUGCUGAACUGGGCGCCACUAUCCCCAAAUCUGGAGGAGACUACUUAUACGUCAAGGUCUUUGGGAGGACUUGUUGGGCUUCACAGCAUAUCCCCCUUCUUUACCUUGGGAAAGCUGAUUUUUCUAUGAUGGCAUUCCUGCUGUGAUGGUUGCCUGGGAAGCUGUGCAGAACAGGCUCCUGGACCUCCUCUUCAACUAGGUCACCCUUGAUCCAGCGCUGUAUGUGGGGAAGCUGUGCAAGCUGUCCAUCGCAGAACCCCUGUGCCCAGUGUGAGAGGCCUCCACGACAGAGGCCUGACAAGGAGGAAGCCCUAGCUGGAUUUGUCUCCCGCUUCAAUCUUGGGAAUGACUGAAGCCAAGUGUGUGACUGAAGCCUGCAUAAUUGAAGCAGGGUACAUGGGUCCCCCUCCUCUCCCGCUCCCCUCCCAUCAAUCUCUGUAGUUGGUUGCAUUUGCUAAAGCAAUGAUCUUUUACGUCAUAAGAUAUCACCUUUUGUUAGUUUUUAUAGUUUUUUUUUCAAGCAUUCUAAUGGGAGAUGAGUGUUACAAAUUGUACAAAUGAAUGAGAUCCUGCACACUGUAGGGUGGCCAAGUGCCUAUAUUAGGCUCUAUGCCUCUAAUAUAUUUGUUUCUCAUUCAAAUUAUGUCAUACCAUUAUUUCUCAUGGGUGUUCAAGUUGAUCAAUAUUUUGGCUAUGUUGGCCUAUUGUAAAUUAGCGAAUAACUGUCUGAUCA